rnacentral:lncRNA from 1 species
UGUAGGUGGGAUGGGGAUGAUGAUGAUGAUGAUGGCGGCGGCAGCGAUGAGAGCGAAGCAGGAGCUAGCCGGUGUAGAUGUGAACGUGGACGGCGAGGAUGAGGAUAGCAUAAAGUGCAAAGAAGAUGAGAGUGUGAACGGCGAUAGACUUGCCGUUGGUCUUCAUGCUCCCGAACUCAAGAUUUUUGUUGUUGCCCGGGAACUGAAACAACAAGCCCGGUUGCAGCAGUACAAACAGAACCACCCCGAUUAGCACCGCCCCCAGUCAGCCAUUCCUCCACCCGGCCCGCCGCUACUAGUACUGCUUCUCCUGAUGGAUUGUAUGUGCUUAUCUUUUGUUUUGUACUAUUUCCCUCCCCCUCGUUAAUUUGGCAGUGCGUGACCUAAAACUAAAAGUGGUGGAGAAUACUUCAGCCAGGCAAAGGCUCAGGCUCCGAAGAAGAGAAAUGGAAGAGGAGGAAUCAGACUAGUCAACGGUCUCUAGAGUCCAGACGCUCUUGCUAGGACAAGGG